rnacentral:rRNA from 1 species
GAGUUUGAUCCUGGCUCAGGAUGAACGCUAGCGGCAGGCUUAAUACAUGCAAGUCGUGGGGCAGCGCAGGUAGCAAUACUGGGCGGCGACCGGCAAACGGGUGCGGAACACGUACACAACCUUCCGAGAAGUGGGGAAUAGCCCAGAGAAAUUUGGAUUAAUACCCCGUAACAUAACGAUGUGGCAUCACAUUGUUAUUAUAGCUUCGGCGCUUCUUGAUGGGUGUGCGGCUGAUUAGAUAGUUGGCGGGGUAACGGCCCACCAAGUCUACGAUCAGUAGCUGAUGUGAGAGCAUGAUCAGCCACACGGGCACUGAGACACGGGCCCGACUCCUACGGGAGGCAGCAGUAAGGAAUAUUGGUCAAUGGACGCAAGUCUGAACCAGCCAUGCCGCGUGAAGGAUUAAGGUCCUCUGGAUUGUAAACUUCUUUUAUCUGGGACGAAAAAAGGCGAUUCUUCGUCACUUGACGGUACCAGAUGAAUAAGCACCGGCUAACUCCGUGCCAGCAGCCGCGGUAAU